GUAGGGGUGCAAGCGUUAAUCGGAAUUACUGGGCGUAAAGCGUGCGCAGGGCGGUUUUGUAAGUCUGUCGUGAAAGCCCCGGGGCUCAACCUGGGAAUUGCGAUGGAGACUGCAAGGCUUGAAUCUGGCAGAGGGGGGUAGAAUUCCACGUGUAGCAGUGAAAUGCGUAGAGAUGUGGAGGAACACCGAUGGCGAAGGCAGCCCCCUGGGUCAAGAUUGACGCUCAUGCACGAAAGCGUGGGGAGCAAACAGGGUUAGAUACCCUGGUAGUCCACGCCCUAAACGAUGUCUACUAGUUGUCGGGUUUUAAUUAACUUGGUAACGCAGCUAACGCGUGAAGUAGACCGCCUGGGGAGUACGGUCGCAAGAUUA
rnacentral:rRNA from 1 species